CAUACGAGAUGAAUAUUCGCCACAGAAACGUUAGCUGUCCAUUCCAAUGUUUACAUUGCUAAAAGUCGACAGUAUUCUGGAGCAACGUUUUGCUCUCGAUGACGUCUUUCAGCCACUUCUCCCUGAACCUCGUUUCCCCUGGCCUGUGUGUCAGCCUGUUCGACUCCACUAGAAAGUACACCUCCACGGGCAAAGUCUGAGGUUUGAUCUUGGAAAUCACAAUGACAAAGUAGACACUGGCAGUCGCCUUGGGGAUCGGGGUGCGUCGGAUAUUCUAGGAGGCAGCUUCAUUCCUAGAUGACCUAUGCUGGAUCAGAGCCAAGAGGACUGACCCAGUCUCCAGAGGUUGUCCUAACUGACCCAGUCUCCAGAGGUUGUCCUAACUGACCCAGUCUCCAGAGGUUGUCCUAACUGACCCAGUCUCCAGAGGUUGUCCUAACUGACCCAGUCUCCAGAGGUUGUCCUAACUGACCCAGUCUCCAGAGGUUGUCCUAACUGACCCAGUCUCCAGAGGUUGUCCUAACUGACCCAGUCUCCAGAGGUUGUCCUAACUGACCCAGUCUCCAGAGGUUGUCCUAACUGACCCAGUCUCCAGAGGUUGUCCUAACUGACCCAGUCUCCAGAGGUUGUCCUAACUGACCCAGUCUCCAGAGGUUGUCCUAACUGACCCAGUCUCCAGAGGUUGUCCUAACUGACCCAGUCUCCAGAGGUUGUCCUAACUGACCCAGUCUCCAGAGGUUGUCCUAACUGACCCAGUCUCCAGAGGUUGUCCUAACUGACCCAGUCUCCAGAGGUUGUCCUAACUGACCCAGUCUCCAGAGGUUGUCCUAACUGACCCAGUCUCCAGAGGUUGUCCUAACUGACCCAGUCUCCAGAGGUUGUCCUAACUGACCCAGUCUCCAGAGGUUGUCCUAACUGACCCAGUCUCCAGAGGUUGUCCUAACUGACCCAGUCUCCAGAGGUUGUCCUAACUGACCCAGUCUCCAGAGGUUGUCCUAACUGACCCAGUCUCCAGAGGUUGUCCUAACUGACCCAGUCUCCAGAGGUUGUCCUAACUGACCCAGUCUCCAGAGGUUGUCCUAACUGACCCAGUCUCCAGAGGUUGUCCUAACUGACCCAGUCUCCAGAGGUUGUCCUAACUGACCCAGUCUCCAGAGGUUGUCCUAACUGACCCAGUCUCCAGAGGUUGUCCUAACUGACCCAGUCUCCAGAGGUUGUCCUAACUGACCCAGUCUCCAGAGGUUGUCCUAACUGACCCAGUCUCCAGAGGUUGUCCUAACUGAUCCAGUCUCCAGAGGUUGUCCUAACUGACCCAGUCUCCAGAGGUUGUCCUAACUGACCCAGUCUCCAGAGGUUGUCCUAACUGACCCAGUCUCCAGAGGUUGUCCUAACUGAACACAGACCACACAAGUGAAGGAGAUGACCCAUCAAGUCCUAUUCCCGUAUCAUCACUGGCACAAGCAAGGCUGUAGUCCAGUCAUACCAUUUAACUCUCUCCUGUCUCUGGUGUGAGCUGCAUGUCGCGGAUCAGGAACACGCUCAACACUGUAACUAAAGCAGUAAG